GAGGUUGAUCAUGGCUCAGAUUGAACGCUGGCGGCAGGCCUAACACAUGCAAGUCGAACGGUAACAGGAAACAGCUUGCUGUUUCGCUGACGAGUGGCGGACGGGUGAGUAAUGUCUGGGAAACUGCCUGAUGGAGGGGGAUAACUACUGGAAACGGUAGCUAAUACCGCAUAACGUCGCAAGACCAAAGAGGGGGACCUUCGGGCCUCUUGCCAUCAGAUGUGCCCAGAUGGGAUUAGCUAGUAGGUGGGGUAACGGCUCACCUAGGCGACGAUCCCUAGCUGGUCUGAGAGGAUGACCAGCCACACUGGAACUGAGACACGGUCCAGACUCCUACGGGAGGCAGCAGUGGGGAAUAUUGCACAAUGGGCGCAAGCCUGAUGCAGCCAUGCCGCGUGUAUGAAGAAGGCCUUCGGGUUGUAAAGUACUUUCAGCGGGGAGGAAGGGAGUAAAGUUAAUACCUUUGCUCAUUGACGUUACCCGCAAAAGAAGCACCGGCUAACUCCGUGCCAGCAGCCGCGGUAAUACGGAGGGUGCAAGCGUUAAUCGGAAUUACUGGGCGUAAAGCGCACGCAGGCGGUUUGUUAAGUCAGAUGUGAAAUCCCCGGGCUCAACCUGGGAACUGCAUCUGAUACUGGCAAGCUUGAGUCUCGUAGAGGGGGGUAGAAUUCCAGGUGUAGCGGUGAAAUGCGUAGAGAUCUGGAGGAGUACCGGUGGCGAAGGCGGCCCCCUGGACGAAGACUGACGCUCAGGUGCGAAAGCGUGGGGAGCAAACAGGAUUAGAUACCCUGGUAGUCCACGCCGUAAACGAUGUCGACUUGGAGGUUGUGCCCUUGAGGCGUGGCUUCCGGAGCUAACGCGUUAAGUCGACCGCCUGGGGAGUACGGCCGCAAGGUUAAAAACUCAAAUGAAUUGACGGGGGCCCGCACAAGCGGUGGAGCAUGUGGUUUAAUUCGAUGCAACGCGAAGAACCUUACCUGGUCUUGACAUCCACGGAAGUUUUCAGAGAUGAGAAUGUGCCUUCGGGAACCGUGAGACAGGUGCUGCAUGGCUGUCGUCAGCUCGUGUUGUGAAAUGUUGGGUUAAGUCCCGCAACGAGCGCAACCCUUAUCCUUUGUUGCCAGCGGUCCGGCCGGGAACUCAAAGGAGACUGCCAGUGAUAAACUGGAGGAAGGUGGGGAUGACGUCAAGUCAUCAUGGCCCUUACGACCAGGGCUACACACGUGCUACAAUGGCGCAUACAAAGAGAAGCGACCUCGCGAGAGCAAGCGGACCUCAUAAAGUGCGUCGUAGUCCGGAUUGGAGUCUGCAACUCGACUCCAUGAAGUCGGAAUCGCUAGUAAUCGUGGAUCAGAAUGCCACGGUGAAUACGUUCCCGGGCCUUGUACACACCGCCCGUCACACCAUGGGAGUGGGUUGCAAAAGAAGUAGGUAGCUUAACCUUCGGGAGGGCGCUUACCACUUUGUGAUUCAUGACUGGGGUGAAGUCGUAACAAGGUAACCGUAGGGGAACCUGCGGUUG
rnacentral:rRNA from 1 species